GGGAAACGAUAUUGGAAGCUUGCUUCCGAUAGGCGUCGACCGGCGCACGGGUGAGUAACGCGUAUCCAACCUGCCCAUCACUUGGGGAUAACCUUGCGAAAGUAAGACUAAUACCCAAUGAUAUCUCUAGAAGACAUCUGAAAGGGAUUAAAGAUUUAUCGGUGAUGGAUGGGGAUGCGUCUGAUUAGCUUGUUGGCGGGGUAACGGCCCACCAAGGCGACGAUCAGUAGGGGUUCUGAGAGGAAGGUCCCCCACAUUGGAACUGAGACACGGUCCAAACUCCUACGGGAGGCAGCAGUGAGGAAUAUUGGUCAAUGGGCGAGAGCCUGAACCAGCCAAGUAGCGUGCAGGAUGACGGCCCUAUGGGUUGUAAACUGCUUUUAUAAGGGAAUAAAGUGAGCCUCGUGAGGCUUUUUGCAUGUACCUUAUGAAUAAGGACCGGCUAAUUCCGUGCCAGCAGCCGCGGUAAUACGGAAGGUCCGGGCGUUAUCCGGAUUUAUUGGGUUUAAAGGGAGCGUAGGCCGGAGAUUAAGCGUGUUGUGAAAUGUAGAUGCUCAACAUCUGCACUGCAGCGCGAACUGGUUUCCUUGAGUACGCACAAAGUGGGCGGAAUUCGUGGUGUAGCGGUGAAAUGCUUAGAUAUCACGAAGAACUCCG
rnacentral:rRNA from 1 species